AGAGCAAGCCAAGGUGGUUGCCCGCCAAUGAAUUGUGGCGGGAGGAAAGUCCGAGCUCCAGAGGGUAAAGCGUAGCGGUUAAUGGCCGCCGUCCUGAUGAGAAUCAGGAUAGGAUUAGAGCCACAGAGACGAGUAACCGCUAAGGCGCAAAAUUUUUGCGUUUUGCGAUGACGUGAAACGAGGCAAUCUCUACGCGGAGCAAGGUCAAAUAGGGAGAGAGAAGUUUUUGCCCGCUUCGUUAAAAUCUCUGGGUAGACUGCUUGAUUCUGUGAAGCAAUUUACAGAAGAAGAGAAAUGACCAUCCAGAUGCGAAAAUUCGCAAUCAGCACAGAACUCGGCUUAUUGGCUUGCUCAAAUG
rnacentral:RNase_P_RNA from 1 species